rnacentral:rRNA from 1 species
UCCUACGGGAGGCAGCAGUAGGGAAUAUUGGACAAUGGGCGAAAGCCUGAUCCAGCAAUGCCGCGUGAGUGAUGAAGGCCUUAGGGUUGUAAAGCUCUUUUACCCGGGAUGAUAAUGACAGUACCGGGAGAAUAAGCUCCGGCUAACUCCGUGCCAGCAGCCGCGGUA